GGGUCAGUAGGUUGGUCGUGCCACCGGUACGUACUGGUCUCACUGAUUCCUCCUUCCUGAAGAACCGUAGUGCCAUUAAUUUGGUGUUGCGGGGAAACAGGACUGUUACUUUGAAAAAAUUAGAGUGUUUAAAGCAAGCUAACGCUUGAAUACAUUAGCAUGGAGUAAUGAAAUAGGACGAUCGAUCCUAUUUUGUUGGUUUCUAGGAUUGACGUA
rnacentral:rRNA from 1 species